rnacentral:rRNA from 1 species
UGGCGACCGGCGCACGGGUGCGUAACGCGUAUGCAACCUACCUUUAACAGGGGGAUAACACUGAGAAAUUGGUACUAAUACCCCAUAAUAUCAUAGAAGGCAUCUUUUAUGGUUGAAAAUUCCGAUGGUUAGAGAUGGGCAUGCGUUGUAUUAGCUAGUUGGUGGGGUAACGGCUCACCAAGGCGACGAUACAUAGGGGGACUGAGAGGUUAACCCCCCACACUGGUACUGAGACACGGACCAA